rnacentral:rRNA from 1 species
UACGUAGGAGGCAAGCGUUAUCCGGAAUGACUGGGCGUAAAGGGUGCGUAGGCGGUAUUUUAAGUUAGUGGUAAAACGUCGGGGCUUCACCUUGAUUGGCCAUUAAAACUGGAGUACUAGAGUACAGACGAGGUAGGCGGAAUAAGUUAAGUAGCGGUGAAAUGCUUAGAUAUAACUUAGAACCCCGAUAGCGAAGGCAGCUUACCAGACUGUUACUGACGCUGAAGCACGAGAGCGUGGGUAGCGAACAGG